CUGCACAACUCCAGGGAGAGUGUGCAUUGGUUUUCAGCAGUCCACUCCAUAAUCAUAUGAAUUGGAGAGAUAUAACUUGGACAUCUCUGGAGAGAUCCACUAGAUGCCUCCCCUACAGAAAUUGAGGACCUGCCAAGGAUCUCA
rnacentral:lncRNA from 1 species